rnacentral:ncRNA from 1 species
CUGAUGGCGGCGCAUGGGUGGAAAUCGGUGUCGAUCGCCCAAUUCCCCUUCGAACUGAUGAGAUGUUCGAAGCUGGAAAACGCCUAAAUGUCAG